GACGAACGCUGGCGGCGUGCUUAACACAUGCAAGUCGAACGGUGAAGCGCCUUCCUUUUUGGUGGGUGUGGAUGAGUGGCGAACGGGUGAGUAACACGUGAGUAACCUGCCCCCUUCUUCUGGAUAACCGCAUGAAAGUGUGGCUAAUACGGGAUAUUCUGGGUCUGUCGCAUGAUGGGUCUGGGAAAGAUAUUGUUUCGGUGGGGGAUGGGCUCGCGGCCUAUCAGCUUGUUGGUGGGGUGAUGGCCUACCAAGGCGGUGACGGGUAGCCGGCCUGAGAGGGUGGACGGUCACACUGGGAAUGAGACACGGACCAGACUCCUACGGGAGGCAGCAGUGGGGAAUAUUGCACAAUGGGCGCAAGCCUGAUGCAGCGACGCCGCGUGAGGGAUGGAGGCCUUCGGGUUGUGAACCUCUUUCGCCAGUGAAGCAGGCCUGCCUCGUUUGUGGGUGGGUUGACGGUAGCUGGAUAAGAAGCGCCGGCUAACUACGUG
rnacentral:rRNA from 1 species